CAGAGUUGGGGAAGAGCUACAAGGUCACUGAGGUAAUGCAAAAGUUCCUGCCCUCAGCAAUGACGGGGAAUGGAGAAUGGCUAGAAGAUGGAGUGUCUUGAAAGGUUUAUGCCCUUAGAGGACAAUACAAGGGAUGAGUAGGAGAGACCCUGCUUGUCAUUGCUAGACCACCUGGGACUCUUCUUCACUGGCAUGGCCACCUGCAACUGCUUCCAGAACCUGCCCUGAGGAUACUUGGAUUUCUCUCCUUUCCAUUUAAUGACCGUGAGCACCGUCUUAGCCCGCUUCAGCUCUUUCACCUUCAUGUCCUUCACAGCUUUGUACUGCACUAAAAUGACGUUGAUGUUGCCCCGGGAGGCCAUAUUUUCUAGGCCAGCCUUGAGCUCCAGGAGGGCUUGUGUUCCCUGGAGCACGUAGUUGGGACUUAGGACAACCAGGAGUCGUCUGCUUUUCUGAAUGAAGCUCAGGGUCUCAUCUGUGACAACUGGGAAAGAAAACACCAUGGGGAUUAGUGUUGGCCAAGAACUACCUGAUUCAAAGAGGUGAAGGAUGGAAGAUAGGGAACUUGGAACGACAGCCUGGGAAACAAGGCUGAAACAGCUUUAUCAGCAACAGUCCUAGUAACUUUCUCUUUAACCACACUGUUCCUGGAAUGUCACUCUGAUGAGGAAAAAAAAAUGGAGUCAUAUAUAAAUGCCCAACUCUCCAAAUGUUUCCAAAUGACUAAAACUAAAAUAUGGUGGAAUAUGAUGGGCUGCUGUUACCCAGUUCCUCAAAGGCCCUAUUUGAACCAGAUGGAAUAGAUAUAUUGUAGUGACAUCACUUUCUUCAAAUAGUGUUGCAGCUCAGACAAAGAGGCUCCUGAAAGAAAAUACUAUCUUCUAUGAAACGUCUUCACACAAAUAUGAACUUCAGAGUCAAAGCCCCCAAGUUGCAGCUGCAGCUAACCAAGGACAACACCAGGGAAUGCCAAAUUUGAGUCUGUCUCUCUGUCUCUCUCUCUCUGUCUCUCCCUCUCCCCCUCCCUCCCUCUCUCUCUUUCUCUGCUGAUGUGUACUUUCCUGAUGCCAACUGAUGUCACUGUUGCUAGAUUAGUAACUCAAGCAAAUGGCAUCUUGGCAAGCAGUGUAUUCCCCCAUCAGCUCUUUAGUUUUCUCUGUUGUGGAGAUGAAAUAAAACAUGCAUAUUUCUCUUUAACCUCUGGUUAUCACUGGACAGCCCAUCGUCAGCUACUGCUAGGUGAUGUGUUUUGCAUUUACUAACUUUGAAUUACUUUCUCCAAGUUGGGAAAAAAAAUAGUGCGGAAAAUGGAAAUACAGCCUAAUUUUAUUCAAGGGCUCUGAUUAAUUCCUGUCACUAAAUUCUUGGGACAAAUCUAUCACCUCACAGAUGCAGAGGGAGACCCGCAUAAUCCUUCACCCAGAGGAGAGACACUCACUAGCUCCAGGCAGUGUAGUGGUGUAGUGGAAACACAUAUCACACUCCACCCGUGCUCAGCAGUCAUUUCCAUUCUUAGUCUUUACAGUUGCAGAAGUAAUGGGGAAAGACUUGCCAAUUAAAAUCUAACAUGUGCAACUCAGGGGAGAAUUCAGGGAUGGGUAGGUGUUUACUCUAAGCAUUUCCACUGGUGGCUGACCAUGUAUAAGCACAGAAAGAAGUCCAAAGGCAAAGUGGCCUCGGGAAGAGCAGUAGAAAGGAUAUAAAGGGAAUACGCUCUGCAAGAUGCAAGAAUAAUUAUGCAUUCUUCAAAGGACUGUCAGAACCCCGAGGAAGGUCUUACCCAGAUAUAUACUGCAGAGUUUCUCAUCACUGUUCACAUAGUAGAUAGGGUAUUAUACAUUUUGUGGAGGAAUAAAUAGGAACAUGGAUGAGUUGGGCAAAUUAAGGAUUAAUGUGAGUGGAAUUUUGUCUUUAACCAUUUAAGCGAUCAUUCCAUGACAUAAUAACACUUAAAGAGAAUCAUCUGUGGAAUACAAUCACAGUCUUUGAGUGAUGACUGAUACACUAACUCAAAAUGAGAAGAAAACUGUGUCUAUCCCAGGUAUCAACUACCCACACAUUAAAAAUUAAAAAAAAUGUAUAAAGCAGUUAAUGUGAACAUAUUAUCAAGGGGGGAGGGGUGAAAACAAAACAAACAAACAAACAAAAAAGAUCAUUCCAUGCUCCAGACAGGAGGCAGUGCACUCAUUCUGAUCAGGAAAGGC
rnacentral:lncRNA from 1 species